rnacentral:rRNA from 1 species
UACGUAGGUGGCGAGCGUUGUCCGGAUUUACUGGGCGUAAAGAGCGCGCAGGCGGCUGGUCAAGUCCGAUGUGAAAGCUCCCGGCUUAACUGGGAAAUUGCAUCGGAAACUGAUCGGCUGGAAGGUGGGAGAGGGUAGCGGAAUUCCCGGUGUAAUGGUGAAAUGCGUAGAUAUCGGGAGGAACACCAGUGGCGAAAGCGGCUACCUGGCCCAUUCUUGACGCUGAGGCGCGAAAGCUAGGGGAGCAAACGGG